GCGGGAGCGGGAGAACCACCAGCGUAGCGUAGGAGCGUAGGCAGCUUAAUCUAGCCAAACAGUAAGCAGACUACGGUUUCAGUACGAAUCGAGCUAGCAACCUGUUCGGACAGAAGUUUGCCAGCGGUGGUGGAGAAAAAGCAGUUUUCGAUUGAGUCAAGUGGAUGGUGGAGGUGCUCAACUAAUUGAGAAGAAGACACGCCGCAGCAAAGAAAAAGGAAAAUCAGAACAAGCCGCCCCCUUCAGAAGACAAAAGAGCGCGUGGCGCAGCAAUCCAAGUGCUAUUUUCGUGUUUUUCUGUGUGUGUGUGUGUGUGUGUGCCGGGGGAAAUACAAUCAGUGGGGCGAGGAAAAAAGGACACCGUCAAAAGGGACGACGGAACGACGGAAGUGUAAAAGUGGUGUGGUUGAAUACUAGAGACUGACAGAAUGCAACGAUUUGAAGUGCACACGAGCCACGCUGGUACCGUUUUGUUGGUGUUACUCGCGCUUCUAAGCGCCUCCAGUGAUGUGAACACGACGGCCAUUGAAGCCAGCGCCUUUUACGGCCGCAGUUAUCGGGGAGGCAGUGACAGCAAUCGGAUGGUGUUCCCGAACGAAAAGGAACGCUACAACUUGUUCAGCAAGGAUGUCAAACGGGAGGUGGAUGAGUACGACGGUUGCUGCGAUGAUGAUAUUCCCUUGGAGCUUGCGCUGCAACUGGGCAACAUCACCUCGAGCGACGACGUCUUCAAUCUGGUCGAACCGGACUCGAUCGAUCAACGAAUCUUCUCCAAGGAAGGAUUUGGAGAACGAUCAGCCGGAGAAAUACCUACCCCUGCUGGGUGCAAUACUCAGCCAACAAUUGUAAGUCUACGGCCGGAGAAUAACAGCGACCCGCGGCUAAUCUACAGCCCGUCGUGCACCCGAGUACAACGCUGCAGUGGCUGCUGUGUGUCCAAGCGUCUCUCGUGCCAGCCGACGUCGACCAGAACGAGAACCUUUACCGUGAACGUCCUCGAGUACGUGUCCGGUACCAAGACCCGCUUCAAGAGCCGCGAUCUGGCUCUCAUCGAGGAACACGUUGGCUGUGCCUGCCAGUGCCGUGUCAAGGAGGAACACUGCAACAGCCUGCAGCGAUACAACUCCCGCAACUGUCGGUGCGACUGCGCGAACAACGACGAUCGAUCGAAGUGUCUCAAGGAGCAGGAUAUCAAGCAGUGGAAUCCGGAUACCUGCUUGUGUGAGUGCAACGAAGCGAAGGAGUGCACCAGUGGCACCUAUUUCGACCACAACUACUGCAGAUGCUUAAAGACCAGCUUCUAUAGCAUACACUAAAAUCCCCAUUCGAUGCACGUCAAAACAAUCAACCAAUCGCACCAUUCUAGUACUGUGUCACGCAGACCACACACACAAUUACGCGAUUACUACUAAAGUAGUCUUUUGGUUUUACUGAGUAGAUCUUAAAGUUUAUAUGUUUCUGUGUGGUUGGUAGUAUUGAUAGUAGUGUUAACAGUGUUAGGAAAGAGAAGAAGAAGAACGAUCGACGCGAUCGUUACGUUAUAUUAAUUUGAUCAGUUUAUCAUAAUCGCAUAUUUAGCAGCAAGAACGAAGUACUCAAUAGACUGUGCCAAAUAAAACAAACAAACAAAAACUAGCAUUCGCACAUGGCCCAAGGGAUUCCUGCAGAUCGAGCGCCCUGAUAGAUAGUAGACUGGAUUAAGCUAAAGUGUGUUAGUUAAUGUAGACCCCGAUGAUAUUGAUUGUUUGUUUGUGCGUGGACAUACGUGUGUGUGUGCGUACGUGUAUUCUUCAGAGAUUUUUUAUUGGUUCCCUCCGCGGUGCGUUCCUACUCCAGCUCUCCUCCCAGCCGCUGGGGAAACCAAUCCACACAGGACCGGAGAAGAUUAAUCCUGAAACCCGUCCCAUCUGCCCUAACGGCCUCUAUGUCCUCGGCUUAAGCUCACCGCGCUAGCGUGCCAACAGAGCGUUAGUGAGCUACCACGGCUGGCUCCACCCAGUGAUUGGUUUAUCGGCCUACAAAAUGAUAUUCGACAAUGUAUUUUAUUCUUCGUAAAACGGAUACAGCACAAACAUUUUCGAGAUGUAAACUACAGUACAAAUGUAACAAAGGGAAAAGAAGACAAAUUGUCCGCGCAUAACCGAGGACAGCCAAGGGGACACGGCGCCAGACGCCGCCGAUUGAGUGAGAAAGAAAUACGAACGAGCAAAGGGACAUUCCUGGACCGUGGUGGUGAAACGAAAUGCGAACAUUAUUACUCGGGUUAUACAGUGGAAGCAGCUAUUUGUUGAUAUUGUCGGGAGCAACUGGAGUGGGAACAAUGCCAUACCUAUUCAAUAAUGCUCGAGUCGUCAGUGGGAUGAGUGAUCGAACACACGGUUGUUUCAUGAUUUAAAACUAUUUUCUUAAAUUUUAUUACACAGCGGGCAGUCUGUGAACGUUAUAGACUAUUUAUUUCUUUGUAUUAAAAGAGAUUGAGAUAAUAAAGAUAUAUGACUUAGGAUAGAA